rnacentral:rRNA from 1 species
CGAGUGAAGCGGUAACAGCUCAAAUUUGAAAGCUAGCUCUUUUAGGGUUCGCAUUGUAAUUUGUAGAAGAUGCUUCGGGUGUGGCCCCGGUCUAAGUUCCUUGGAACAGGACGUCAUAGAGGGUGAGAAUCCCGUAUGUGACUGGGUGCUUUCGCUCAUGUGAAGCUCUUUCGACGAGUCGAGUUGUUUGGGAAUGCAGCUCAAAAUGGGUGGUAAAUUUCAUCUAAAGCUAAAUAUUGGCCAGAGACCGAUAGCGCACAAGUAGAGUGAUCGAAAGAUGAAAAGCACUUUGGAAAGAGAGUUAAACAGUACGUGAAAUUGUUGAAAGGGAAGCGCUUGCAACCAGACUUGCGCGCUGAUGAUCAUCCGGGCUUCUGUCCGGUGCACUCGUCUGCGCUCAGGCCAGCAUCGGUUUCGGUGGUGGGAUAAAGGCCUUGGGAAUGUAGCUCCUCUCGGGGAGUGUUAUAGCCCUCGGUGCAAUGCCGCCUACCGGGACCGAGGACCGCGCUUCGGCUAGGAUGCUGGCGUAAUGGUUGUAAGCGACCCGUCUUGAAACACGGACCAAGGAGUCUAACAUCUAUGCGAGUGUUUGGGUGUCAAACCCAUACGCGUAAUGAAAGUGAACGGAGGUGAGAACCCUUAAGGGUGCAUCAUCGACCGGUCCUGAUGUCUUCGGAUGGAUCUGAGUAAGAGCAUAGCUGUUGGGACCCGAAAGAUGGUGAACUAUGCGUGAAUAGGGUGAAGCCAGAGGAAACUCUGGUGGAGGCUCGCAGCGGUUCUGACGUGCAAAUCGAUCGUCAAAUUUGCGUAUAGGGGCGAAAGACUAAUCGAACCAUCUAGUAGCUG